GGGGAAGCCUACAGGNCAGUCGAGCGAGCUUGCCUAGAUGAUUUUAGUGCUUGCACUAAAUGAAACUAGAUACAAGCGAGCGGCGGACGGGUGAGUAACGCGUGGGUAACCUGCCUCAUACAGGGGGAUAACAGUUAGAAAUGACUGCUAAUACCGCAUAAGCGCACAGGACCGCAUGGUCAAGUGUGAAAAACUCCGGUGGUAUGAGAUGGACCCGCGUCUGAUUAGCUGGUUGGUGAGGUAACGGCCCACCAAGGCGACGAUCAGUAGCCGACCUGAGAGGGUGGCCGGCCACAUUGGGACUGAGACACGGCCCAAACUCCUACGGGAGGCAGCAGUGGGGAAUAUUGCACAAUGGGGGAAACCCUGAUGCAGCAACGCCGCGUGAGUGAAGAAGUAUUUCGGUAUGUAAAGCUCUAUCAGCAGGGAAGAAGAAAGACGGUACCUGACUAAGAAGCCCCGGCUAACUACGUGCCAGCAGCCGCGGUAAUACGUAGGGGGCAAGCGUUAUCCGGAUUUACUGGGUGUAAAGGGAGCGUAGACGGCAUAGCAAGUCUGAAGUGAAAGCCCGUGGCUCAACCGCGGAACUGCUUUGGAAACUGUUAAGCUGGAGUACUGGAGAGGCAAGCGGAAUUCCUAGUGUAGCGGUGAAAUGCGUAGAUAUUAGGAGGAACACCAGUGGCGAAGGCGGCUUGCUGGACAGAGACUGACGUUGAGGCUCGANAGCGUGCGGAGCAAAUAGGAUUAGAU
rnacentral:rRNA from 1 species